rnacentral:rRNA from 1 species
GAUGAACGCUGGCGGCGUGCCUAAUACAUGCAAGUCGAGCGAACAGAUAAGGAGCUUGCUCCUUUGACGUUAGCGGCGGACGGGUGAGUAACACGUGGGUAACCUACCUAUAAGACUGGGAUAACUUCGGGAAACCGGAGCUAAUACCGGAUAACAUUUGGAACCGCAUGGUUCUAAAGUGAAAGAUGGUUUUGCUAUCACUUAUAGAUGGACCCGCGCCGUAUUAGCUAGUUGGUAAGGUAACGGCUUACCAAGGCAACGAUACGUAGCCGACCUGAGAGGGUGAUCGGCCGCACGGGAACUGAGACACGGUCCAGACUCCUACGGGAGGCAGCAGUAGGGAAUCUUCCGCAAUGGGCGAAAGCCUGACGGAGCAACGCCGCGUGAGUGAUGAAGGGUUUCGGCUCGUAAAACUCUGUUAUUAGGGAAGAACAAAUGUGUAAGUAACUGUGCACGUCUUGACGGUACCUAAUCAGAAAGCCACGGCUAACUACGUG